rnacentral:rRNA from 1 species
CCUACGGGAGGCAGCAGUGAGGAAUAUUGGUCAAUGGACGAGAGUCUGAACCAGCCAAGUAGCGUGAAGGAUGACUGCCCUAUGGGUUGUAAACCUCUUUUAUGAAGGAAUAAAACGAGGCACGUGUGCCUCUUUGCAUGUACUUUAUGAAUAAGGAUCGGCUAACUCCGUGCCAGCAGCCGCGGUAAUACGGAGGAUCCGAGCGUUAUCCGGAUUUAUUGGGUUUAAAGGGAGCGUAGGUGGGUUGUUAAGUCAGUUGUGAAAGUUUGCGGCUCAACCGUAAAAUUGCAAUUGAUACUGGCAGUCUUGAGUACAGUUGAGGUAGGCGGAAUUCGUGGUGUAGCGGUGAAAUGCUUAGAUAUCACGAAGAACCCCGAUUGCGAAGGCAGCUUACUGAACUGUGACUGACGUUGAUGCUCGAAGGUGUGGGUAUCGAACAGGAUUAGAUACCCUUGUAGUC